AUUGAACGCUGGCGGCAGGCCUAACACAUGCAAGUCGAACGAGUGGCGGACGGGUGCGUAAUGUCUGGGAAACUGCCUGCUGGCGGGGGCUCACUACUGGAAACGGUAGCUAAUACCGCAUCCCAUCGGAUUUGCACAGAUGGGCUUAGCUAGUGGGUGGGGUAAAGGCUCACUUAGGCGACGAUCCCGAGCUGGUCUGAGAGGAUGACCAGCCACACGGGAACUGAGACACGGUCCAGACUCCUACGGGAGGCAGCAGUGGGGAAUAUUGCACAAUGGGCUCAAGCCUGAUGCAGCCAUGCCGCGUGUAUGAAGAAGGCCUUCGGGUUGUAAAGCACUUUCAGCGAGGAGGCGUUACUCGCAGAAGAAGCACCGGCUAACUCCGUGCCAGCAGCCGCGGUAAUUC
rnacentral:rRNA from 1 species